rnacentral:rRNA from 1 species
AUUGAACGCUGGCGGCAUGCUUUACACAUGCAAGUCGAACGGCAGCGCGGGCUUCGGCCUGGCGGCGAGUGGCGAACGGGUGAGUAAUACAUCGGAACGUGCCCAGUAGUGGGGGAUAGCUCGGCGAAAGCCGGAUUAAUACCGCAUACGACCUGAGGGUGAAAGCGGGGGAUCUUCGGACCUCGCGCUAUUGGAGCGGCCGAUGGCAGAUUAGCUAGUUGGUGGGGUAAAGGCCUACCAAGGCGACGAUCUGUAGCUGGUCUGAGAGGACGACCAGCCACACUGGGACUGAGACACGGCCCAGACUCCUACGGGAGGCAGCAGUGGGGAAUCUUGGACAAAGGGCGAAAGCCUGAUCCAGCAAUGCCGCGUGUGUGAUGAAGGCCUUCGGGUUGUAAAGCACUUUUGGCGGGAACGAAAAGGACUGUGCCAAUACCACGGUUCGAUGACGGUACCCGCAGAAUAAGCACCGGCUAACUACGUG